rnacentral:rRNA from 1 species
AGUGAACGCUGGCGGUAGGCCUAACACAUGCCAGUCGAACGGCAGCACAGUAAGAGCUUGCUCUUACGGGUGGCGAGUGGCGGACGGGUGAGGAAUACAUCUGAAUCUACUUUUUCGUGGGGGAUAACGUAGGGAAACUUACGCUAAUACCGCAUACGCCCUACGGGUGAAAGCAGGGGAUCUUCGGACCUUGCGCGAUUGCAUGAGCCGAUGUCGGCUUAGCUAGUUGGCGGAGUAAAGGCCCACCAAGGCGACGAUCCGUAGCUGGUCUGAGAGGAUGAACAGACACACUGAGACUGAGACACGGUACAGACUCCUACGGGAGGCAGCAGUGGGGAAUAUUGGACAAUGGGCGCAAGCCUGAUCCAGCCAUACCGCGUGGGUGAAGAAGGCCUUCGGGUUGUAAAGCCCUUUUGUUGGGAAAGAAAAGCAGCAGGUUAAUACCCCGCUGUUCUGACGGUACCCAAAGAAUAAGCACCGGCUAACUUAGUG